rnacentral:tRNA from 1 species
GCGUUUAUAGCUCAGUUGGUUAGAGCACCACCUUGACAUGGUGGGGGUCGUUGGUUCGAGUCCAAUGAAACGCACCA